UUUAACGGCCGCGGUAUUUUGACCGUGCAAAGGUAGCAUAAUCAUUAGUCUUUUAAUAGAGGGCUGGAAUGAAAGGUUUGACGAGGUUCUAGCUGUCUCAUUUAAUUUGAGAUUAGAAUUUAACUUUUCAGUCAAAAGGCUGAGAUGAUAUUGGAAGACGAGAAGACCCUAUAGAGCUUUAUAGCUGUGGACUUAGUUAGUUUUUGUUUAUGAUUACUAAUUAUAGUCCUAGCUAUUUUGUUGGGGUGACAAAAAUAUAUAAUCAACUUUUUUAUUAAUUUUACAUUGAUGUAUGAGUUUAGGAUCCAAUCUUAUUGAUUACUAGAUUAAGUUACCUUAGGGAUAACAGCGUAAUCUUCCUUCAGAGUUCAUAUUUACAGGAAGGCUUGCGACCUCGAUGUUGGAUUAAGAAAAUAAUUAGGUGUAGCCGCUUAAUGUAUAGGUCUGUUCGACCUUUAAAUUCUUACAUGAUCUGA
rnacentral:rRNA from 1 species